CAAGUUCCUCGCAAAUCGCUUCU
rnacentral:siRNA from 1 species